GUGGUGGCUCAGAAGUAGAGCACUCACCUAGCAUGCGUGAGGCUCUGGGUUCAAUCCUCAGCACCACA
rfam:Ictidomys tridecemlineatus contig015565, whole genome shotgun sequence.